GAAACCUUGAUCAGAUUGGGGUUAGUGUCCCCAUGCCUUAUUGCCAUGUUAGAGCGCUUGUUUACGGAAAACACAUGAACGUGGGACGUGGGUAAUGACAUAGAACUGCAGAGAGAAGGCAGAAUGUCGCCUAGAGUUUUAGAGCGGAGGGGUGGACCGUGGCUUUCCAGUACCCUAUCACAUUCAUUCAUCUUUUUCUUCUCAGCGUGGACCAUGCCUAUACAAUCCUUCUCCUUUCCUUUGCCUGAGACCAGGUUCUUCCAGGCUGGACAACAUGUCUACAAGUUCAAGAUCAGGGGAGGCAAUAACUGCAGUGAAGUGAAGGUGAUGGGAGAAGAGUUUGUCAAUCGGGAGUUGGAGGUAGGACACUGUGUCAUCCAUCCAUUAUUUUAUCCUUCCAUUCAUUUAUCCUUUCAUCCAUCCAUUAUUUCAUCCAUUCAUGAAUGAAUUAAUAUAUGAAUGAAUUCAUCCGUGUUUCUUUCUCCGUGUAGAAUACCAUCAGAGCGGUGCUAGCCAACCUGGACUGUCUUCAGCCGUUCACUACCCCACACUUCACUGUCUACCCUUACAAGAGUAAGUGGAAGAGAGUGUCCAAGUUUAAAUUUGAGAAGAUGUCAGGAGAGAAGCUGUCUGCUUACCCCUACCUAGUCACUGUGUACCUAGAGAACAACACACACACUGAGAUGUGUGUGGAAGAGUGCUGGACACCAGUGAGAGCAGGAGAAGGCAUCCCCCUCCUUCCUGCCAGUGGUCAUGAGUGCCAGGCCAAGCGCAGUAAGACAGGACCACCACACUGGGGCACCCUAACACCACAACAAAGAGACCGUCUCAUCAUGCAGGGACCACAGUCACACAUACAUCAUGAACUUCUCAGACCAGGGGAAACGGAGGCAAAGAAUGGUGAUGGCAAGGUGUCUCUCGCUCACUCUGUCUCACUCUCUGUCUCGCUGUCUCUCUGUCUGUCUCUCUAUUUGUCUCUCUCUCGCUCUGUCUCUCUCUCUGUCUCGCUGUCUGACUCCCUGUCUGUCUCGCUGUCUGUCUCGCUCUCACUGUCUUUCUGUCUCGCUCUCGCUGUCUUUCUCUCUCUGUCUCGCUGUCUGUCUCUCUCUGUCUCGCUGUCUGUCUCUCUCUGUCUCGCUGUCUGUCUCUCUCUGUCUCGCUGUCUGUCUCUCUCUGUCUCGCUGUCUGUCUCUCUCUCACUGUCUUUCUGUCUCUCUCUCCCUCUCUAUCUCACACACAAUGUGUCUUGUGUCUGUUUACUACUCCCUGGGGGCUACAUUUGUCCAGUCAGCUGGGAUAAUAACUUUGAUAUAACUAGCCCAUUAAGAUAAGAAUAGAAACAUUAAAUAGACAGACUGGAUGCAUCUCAAAUUGUACCCUAAUCACUACAUAAUGCAUGCUCCCUGGACAGAAAGGAAGGGAAUGUGGGGCUGUUUGGGAUACAUCCACUGUAUAUCAUGGAGAAUGGAAUCACAUCUCAGCUGAGAGAGAAAGACUGUGUGUUUGGAUGUUGGUGUUCUGAUUCCUGUCUUUUAGUAUAC
rnacentral:lncRNA from 1 species